rnacentral:misc_RNA from 1 species
GAUGAAGAACGCAGCGUAAUGCGAUAAGUAAUGUGAAUUGCAGAAUUCAGUGAAUCAUCGAAUCUUUGAACGCACAUUGCGCCCCCCAGUAUUCUGGCGGGCAUGCCUGUUCGAGCGUCAUUUCAACCAUCAAGCCCUGCUUGUGUUGGGGUCCUGCGGCUGCCCGCAGGCCCUGAAAACCAGUGGCGGGCUCGCUAGUCACACCGAGCGCAGUAGCACAUCUCGCUCAGGGCGUGCGGCGGGCUCCAGCCGUUAAAGCACCCACCUUUCGCAAGGUUGACCUCGGAUCAGGUAGGAAUACCCGCUGAACUUAAGCAUAUCAAUAAGCGGAGGA